AGGAGAGAUACGUCUACCGGACCUUAGAAUGGCCGGACUCGACGUAUAUGAGAGGAGGCAGAGUCAGGAACGAUCCGAAGUCAAGGACACAGAGAGACAGCGUAAACUAGGACUAGCCGGGGUCUGGUACACAGUAAACAGGAAGCCGACAACCAGAACAGAUAAGGAUAAAGAGAAAACGUAGUCAGAAACAAAGCCAAAGUCAAUACGGAGAAAACACAACUGAACACAACAAGCGCUAAAGGGAACUGAAACAGAAACCACGAUAGGGCAGGGAGUAAAGGGAGAGGUAAGUUUAAAUAGCUUCUAAACUAAUGUGAUUGGCUCCUGUCAUAUCCACACCCCCAAAAGGUAAGUGUAUGAGGAGUGUGG